CCGAUUUGUUGCCAUCAAGCGAUGAAAAGGAUGAGCAUGAAGAGGAGGAAGAAGAAGCUCUUGAUGACUCGAUUGAAAGACUGCUGUUCUCAGUCGUACAUUUGCUGAAUGUUUUCUCCUGCAAAAGCAACUUAUAGCAAGGUGGUUCGCCCAUGCUGCAAGGCAACCAGUUUUUAUACUCCUGACUCCUGAGCGGUUUUACCAACCAAGGUAUUUUGUUUUUUUAUAUAGUUCGUUCGCUGUUCUUUGCUGAACCUUCCAACUGUCGAUCUUACCAAACCUUGAAUAAUAGCAUGGAAACGCAUUUUAGUUUUCAACGCA